rnacentral:rRNA from 1 species
UACAUGGGGUGCAAACGUUGCUCGGAAUUAUUGGGCGUAAAGCGCGCGUAGGCGGUUACUCAAGUCGGAUGUGAAAGCCCUCGGCUUAACUGAGGAAGUGCACCCGAAACUGAGUAGCUAGAGUACUAAAGAGGGUCGCGGAAUUCCCGGUGUAGAGGUGAAAUUCGUAGAUAUCGGGAGGAACACCGGUGGCGAAGGCGGCGACCUGGGUAGAUACUGACGCUGAGGCGCGAAAGCGUGGGGAGCGAUCCGG